rnacentral:lncRNA from 1 species
GCUAAGAUGCUGGGCUGUCCUGGAGCUGCGGCUGGAGUCAGGUUCAAAUGCAGCACCCGGCAGCACACUACACAGGGUGAGGACACCAUGUUCCUCUACUGUUGUGGAUGCAGCCCUCACCAGACGACCGAACCUGCCAGUGCCUUGUUCUUGGACUUCCUAGCCUUCAGAACUGACUGUUUGACCUCUGGUAACUAAAACUGCAGAAGGCAAAACUGGAUAAGGAGACUACUGUAAUGAUUAUGCUAUUACAAGACGCUCGAUUGCUAACAUCAGAC